CGGGCACGGGGGGGGCCGCCCACCGCGAAGAAGCGGGCGGCAGCGCCGUAGGGGUCCAGCCGCUCUCGGGUCGCGGCAGGCAGGGAGUGGAGAGCGGCAGAUGCCCCCGACACGGGGCUUCGGGGCAUCCUCCGGGGGAAACAAGCAGCAUCUGGCUUCCUGGUCCUUCCAUGUCGCCGGGGGUCGAGGGAUCUGCCUGCUCCCUGGGACAGGGACGGGCUUUCCCGGGACGCAGCUGGGAAGGCGCAGCCUUGCCACCUCUGUCAGGUCCCCGUUGCGGGUGCCGCGGUUCGGGGGUCUCUCUGGCAGGCCCAGAGAGCCACCAGGGAGAGGUGAAACCUCAGGAUCUGUCUCAAGCCCGGUUGGAAAUACGUCGUGUGACCAGCGAGUUCCUUUCUGCAGUGGCCCCCUCCGGCGCGUCCGCUGCAGCGGGCUCGGAGCUGCACUGAUGGCGUGCAGCUGAAUCCCGGGCAAACCAUCAUCCUCCUUUCCCGGAGACUUAUCACUUCACAGGAGCAAAGCCUGAGUCUCCCUCCUUUGCCUCCUGCAACACCCUGCCUCGCCGUUCCAGUGGCCGGCAGAAAGCCGCGGCUCCCCUUCGCUGCCCGGAGCCCCGGGAAAAGUACCCCCGGCCGGCGGGGAGCGGCUCGGCGGAGGCUCCUGGGGACGGCGAGGGGAGGUCAGGCAGCUCCCGCUCCUUCCUCCUCCCCACCUCCACUUGGUUGGGGUUUUGUUGUUUCUGGUUUUCCCGUCGCAAAAAGCGCGGUGCGAACGCAAGCUCCCGGGGCCUGCAGGCGGCGGCGGGAUGCCGGGUCCCGCAGAGAAGCGACUCUCGUCUGCCUUCCCCCCCCCAACCCUCGCCAAAUCAAUCUGCCAUUCCCCCCAGGCUCAGCAUUGCUCCUUUUACGUAGCCGUGAGACGUUUACAGCUAAAUAGUUAAGAGUUCUAAAGAACGUUUGAAACAUGAGCGUAAUCCCCUGAAGGAGCUGAAGUUUUGCCUCUCUCUUUUCACUCAAGAUUGUCCUCUUUCUGUUUCUUCACUGGAGCAGAAGGCACCUAGACUUUUAGUCUCAGAGCUGAUUUUUACUUUAUACUUUUGCUUUUUGCCUUGAUACCUCUUAACAAACAUUUUGAUCCCAUUUCCUUCACCCAGUAAGCAGCUUUUUAGGUAUGACUCUUCUACUCCUCUUAAAUUACUUUCUCUAAGAGCUGUAGAGAAGAAUAAUCCACAUUCGUGGGCUACAAAAACAUGGUGUGUUGUUAUUUUUCUUGCUGGACUCAUGAUUAACUGGCAGGAAAAGUUGAAAAACGAGAGGAAAGCUCUUCUUGAUACAAUUUUGUUUGUUCUCUGAUGUGAUUAUGACUAAAAUGUUAACAUGAUUUCUGGCUAAGAUCAUAGCAAGGCAGAAGUGACAGGCUGAAGAAGGAGCAGAGCGCUGGUGAAACCAGGAUUGAAAGGAUGAAGGAAGAGCAGAGAGCUGGGGGGAGCCACGCAUUAGGAAGCUGAAGGAAACAAUGCUCAAAGAAGGUGGAAGGACCUUAAAAUAGAAUCGAGCUACACCUGCCAGUCUGACCUGAGGGAAGAAGCUGACUAGAAGGCUUUUAAGGCUGACUCCUGAAAACAGAAGUCUGUGCUCCCUGUGUUGUGUCACACUGCUUCUCUGCUCUUGCUGCCUACAGAGGUCAAUGAAUGCACCCUCCUGGGUCAAGUGCUUCCUCCUGGUCUCUAGGCAAAAGGUGCUGCGUGUUUGUCCAAUCAGCCCACUAAAUGCAUGAAAUGCUGUCCCUGAGAGCUGUCACUACCUUCUAGGUGACAGGGAGAGACAGGAAUACCUCCUCUGGCUCCCAAAGGAUUAAGGAUCCAAGGCUGUGCUGUCUGGUGAUAAGGAAGAUGGUUUAGGCAGCACCCCAAGGAAGGGCUGGAGAGGAAAAGCCCUGAUGCCAAAGAGCCCCGUCCUUAUCUCUGCACCUUGGCACUCUUCCUAUGUGAUCUCAUGUACUAAGGACAAUUAAUUAAUUACAUUGGAAGUGUCUGUGAUCUGUGUUGAGCCUCAUUUUGCAUGCUCUUAUUCACAACAGAACCAGCUGCAAUUUGAUUUAAAUCAAUUCACGUUCAGAAUAAACCAACACUCAACAGAAUAAAAGCAGCUUUGGCUUUGAAUGGAUGCCUGCAUAGAAUUGUUUGUGGUUUAACCAAUCCACUCUAAAAAAUAAUUAUUUUACUAUUCCUGGGCAUUCCCUUCUAGCCUAGCUUGCUUUUUGCUCUCUGCUUUAGUCUCCUGUCAGUAAAAUGGAAAUAGAAAUUGCCUGCUAACAGCUUAAAGUCAUUGUAGGGAAGGCUCUUGGUUACUGCAGAAUUUUACCUGGCACUCAUUGUAUAUGCUCUGCAAAAGUGAGGUCUUGAUUUCCUUCUUGCCUUGUAGUAUUUCUCAAGGACUGUACCCAGCUGUCAGUGACCCCAGGGAGAUGUGGCAGUGGAGAAUUAGGGCCUCACUGUGCAUUUUAAACUUCCACUGAGCAUCUCCUUGGCUGUGGCUCUGUGUUUUCUUCAAAGACUAUGGGCCAGGGUUUCAGAACUCUCUAACUUUAGUCAUCUUAAUGAACAGCUUCAAUGGUGUUAAUGGGAACUAGGGCACUUUCUUUAUUAGUGGAAACCAGGCCACUUAAUUGCCUCACAAAAACACAGAGAACCUGGUCUCACAGUUUCCUGCACAACACAGAUGAGGAACUUUAAUCUCUUUUAGAGGUAGCUCUAUUAAAAUCCAUGGAGCUGUAGCAAGUACCAAGUUACUGUGUCACGAUGGGAACAGGGUGCUUGUUAAAGUCAGCACACAAGCACAGCUUUCUCACCAGAACUUAGGUUUUCUGUUUCAAAUGCAUUUCCACAGCCCUGAAACACGCUUCAGCUUGCUGGCAAGUGUGGUCAGGCUGGAGAAACAGGUCAAAAACGGGGACCUUGGUGUUUUUAAAUCAAAACUUGUGAGGUUUGGGACUAAAUUAUUUCUCUCUUUUUCAAUUCCUUCUUCCUAGCCAUCCUCUUCCCUCCCCCCGCUCCCUUCUUUCUUCAGUGUUUUCACUUUAAAUGAGACUUAUUUGUUCUUAUUGCUUGCCAAAAACUGGAGAAUUGUCAUUAUUUGAGUUUUGUUGUCAGCUUUCUUUUAAAAUAAAACACAAGAUGCUUUCCAGAGAGUUAGGAAGGGACCAAUUUUCAAGGAGCAAAGAGGAAACUGCAGCGGCACUAACUGAGUUUUCUUCACAAGAGGAAAUAGAAUGUCAUCCUCGGGCUUGAAAUGUAGUUGUUAAUACCAAAGAACAUCACCUAAAGCUCUAGAAAUAAAUACUCCUGUGUAUAAGCUAUAAAAAGAUGAGAUCUCAGA